rfam:Spirochaetes bacterium GWC2_52_13 gwc2_scaffold_219, whole genome shotgun sequence.
GGAGAGGUGCGAGAGCGGCCGAAUCGGGCUCCCUGCUAAGGAGUUGUACUGGGAACGGUACCGGGGGUUCGAAUCCCCCCCUCUCCG